UGGGGAAUAUUGGACAAUGGGCGCAAGCCUGAUCCAGCCACGCCGCGUGAGUGAUGAAGGCCUUCGGGUCGUAAAGCUCUGUGGGGAGGGACGAACCGCUGCUGGUUCAUAUCCAGCAGCAUGACGGUACCUCCUUAGCAAGCACCGGCUAACUUCGUGCCAGCAGCCGCGGUAAUACGAAGGGUGCAAACGUUGCUCGGAAUUAUUGGGCGUAAAGCGCACGUAGGCGGCUUUUCAAGUCCCAUGUGAAAUCCCACGGCUUAACCGUGGAAGUGCAUGGGAAACUGGAAAGCUUGAGUACUUAAGAGGAUCGCGGAAUUCCCGGUGUAGAGGUGAAAUUCGUAGAUAUCGGGAGGAACACCAGUGGCGAAGGCGGCGAUCUGGGAAGAUACUGACGCUGAGGUGCGAAAGCGUGGGGAGCAAACA
rnacentral:rRNA from 1 species